rnacentral:lncRNA from 1 species
AUAUACUAGUGUAGGAAUCCGCGCGAUGCGGCGGGUAAAAAUUAUAAUAAACUAUAUAUUAAAUAUACAAAUAAAAAAAAUAUAUAGCAGAAAAUAAUCAAUAUUUUAUUAGUUAAUAAUAUAAAAAAUAAUUUGAAAUUUUUUUAGAAUGAAAAUAUAAUCCAAUGGAGAACAAAGAAAGAAAACAAAACAAAAACUAUAAAAGAAUAAAAAUUGUUGCAUAGAUAGAAAUUAAAAAAAAAAAACAUAAUUUAUUGCAAGAAUAAAAGGGAACGAAAAAAUAAAAAUUAGAGGUGAUUUCGUUAGGGUUGGUUUUAUUACUCAAUGAAUUAUAAUAGGUUCCGGUUGAGGAUCAAAAU